GUGGCAGAGCCUGGCUAUGCAAAAGACCUAAGCCCUUUUAAGCAGGGGUUCAAAUCCCCUCGCUAACU
rnacentral:tRNA from 1 species